GUACACGCUGUGACUAGCAUAUCAAUAAGCGGAGGAAAAGAAACUAACAAGGAUUCCCUUAGUAACGGCGAGUGAAGCGGGAAGAGCUCAAAUUUGAAAUCUUCAAGGUUUUACCUUGACGAAUUGUAGUUUAAAGAAGUGUUUUCUGCUGAAGUUUUGGUAAAAGUUCUUUGGAAUAGGACAUCAUAGAGGGUGAGAAUCCCGUAUUUGACCAUUAUUUUCAGCUUUGUGAUACACUUUCAAAGAGUCGGAUUGUUUGGGAAUGCAGUCCAAAAUGGGUGGUAAAUUUCAUCUAAAGCUAAAUAUUGGCGAGAGACCGAUAGCGAACAAGUACCGUGAGGGAAAGAUGAAAAGAACUUUGAAAAGAGAGUUAAAUAGUACGUGAAAUUGUCAAAAGGGAAGCGUUUAACACCAGUGUUGUUUUCUGAAAAUCAACCUCUGUUAGCUUUAUGCAUGUUUGUUUCAGACCUAAUCAGCUAUCUUGCAUGUUCUAUUGUUUGCAGUGGUGCACUUUUCAGUUUACAGGUCAACAUCAGUUUUUUUUACCGUAAAAAAGUUAAAGAAAGGUAGCUCAUGGCUCCGGUCGUGAGUGUUAUAGUCUUUUUCCUAUGCGGUAGGAGAGACUGAGGUCUGCAGUGUAGGCUAUUUGGCUAGAUACUCAGGUGCUAUGUGAUACCAUUUCAUAAACAACUUGUUGAUUAUGUUUUGUCUAUUGCAUACUCGCUUGUACUAUCAUACCUACGCUUAGGAUGUUGAACUACUGAGACAUAGA
rnacentral:rRNA from 1 species